AAAAAAAAAAAAAAAAGUUAAGCAAAAAAAUCAAUUCUUAAGGAACACUGGAUUUCAGUCACAACUGCCUUUUAAUUUAUGGUGUAUAAACAACCGCAGAAGAGCAAUAGCACUUACAAGCAUCUUAUAGUUUCCCUGAUUUUCUGGUACCUGAAAUUAUAAAGCUGCUUUUGUCAAACAAAUACCAUAUCUUUGUAAAGAUCACCAGUUCGACAAGGCAUCAGGCUCUCUUGCAGAAUCUGUGACUUUUCACUAUAAUCAUAACUUACUUUAAAAUUGGAGGGCUAAACUCCAUUGCAGUGUGUAAUAUGUAAUUUAGAAGUGUUUAUAAUAACAAGUACAGUAUCAUCCUCUCCUAGAAGACAAGGAAAGAAUCUCUCAGAGAAAACAGUUCCUUCCAGAUCCUUUUCAGUUUAAUUAUGUGUUACACUGAAUUACUGCGCAUGCCACAGUCAUUAGCACUUCAUCAUAGAGGAGGAUUUCCUAUUAAUUACAAUUGAGUGGCAUGAUGAAUGUUAGUAUUAAUACCCUUGAUUUAAUACAAAAAACUGUGAUGUAUGUGAUUGUUAUAAAAUGUAUACCUAGAAUCACUGAUUCAUUCACAUAAUUGUUAUCAGCUUGUCUGGAAUCUAAUAUUUUAAAUUCUCAUCAAAUGCCUUAUUUUCAAUUCAAUUAGUGUAGAUUUCUUCCAGUGCUCGUAUCAUAGGCAUAUAGGUAAACCAAAUCUCAGGUUAUAUUUUACUUUUCCAUGGACUCUUCUAGUCCAGCUGCUUUCUUCUUUACUAUAUUCUAAUGAAUUUCCUGCAUGAUUUCAUAUCUUUUUGUGUCAUUAUUCUCUGCACUGCAGUGUCACUCCAUUAGCAUGCAGUUUAUCUCAAUUUGUUCUGCUAUUUACAUUCUUGUCUUAUCCUAUUUGUGCUGGUAUUGAAAGUCAGUGAAUUAAUAUAACUUAAAUCGCUGUGAAAGCUUUCCUUGGUGGGAAAUACAGAUACUUACUGAUAAAUUAUUUUAGAUUAUAUAUCCUACUUAAGCAGUUUACUCAUAGAUGGAAGAAAUUACUAUGAGGAAAAGAGCAGAGUCAAUAAAUGGAAAGGAUAGGAUAGAAGACAUUAAUGCAUUUAUUUAAAUAAUGAAAGGCCCAAACACUCUCAAAAGCCAAUAAUACUCACUGGUAUCCUUCACCUUAUGUUUGCCCCAUAUCCUCUUUCAUUUUACACCAUGGAUUAAGCUUUUGGAUUAAGCUUGAAAAUACCCUUCCCUGCUACCAUAACACAAACUAAUUAAGACAAUAACAUGCUUAAUAUGAUAUGCACUUAUGUAGAAUUGCUCUGUCGACUUUUGUAGUUUUAGUAUGUUGAUCAUUUUUCUCAAUCAUGUUUCAUACCUUUGCAAACACAUCAAUAUCCUGUUUUAAUGCUUUUGCAUGAUUAAUACAAAUACUCGUGGCUGAAAAUUUCAGCAGGAAAUUGCAGCUCUCUGGAUUAGAAUCUCUUCUGGUGUAAACUGUGUUUUUCUUUGUUAAGCAAUGAUAACAGGUAACAUCUGUAGGCCAGACAUGAAAUAGAUGUCAGAACGAGGCUUCUUUCUAAGACAAAAUGACAAAUUAAUUGGACACCCAAACUUGUUAAGCAGGGUUUAGCAAGACCGUUUGUUUUGAGAACAAAAUUAAUAGUCUCCAUGUUCAUAAGCAAUUCUCAGAAAUUUGAAGCUAGUUGAAAGACAAAGUACCAGAUUACUAUUAAACUAUCAAAAUUGGAGAAUGAAGGAGUAAAAACAUAUGAAUGAUACAGCGUUUUAAGAUUAGAACUGAAAUAGAAGACAGACUUCUAAUAAAUGCAAGAAAAGUCUGAUUUUAGAAGGUCACUUCUUUGCAACUUCUAUUGUAAUUAUCUUUGUGCCUAAAUACUUCGGGUGCCAGGGCAAAAUAUUUAGAAAUGUAUCAUUGCAAUUUCACUGCCUUUGUCCUGUGAAGAGCAGUUACAGUGCUGCUUUGUGGACAUCUUAGCCAAGGUGGAGAAAUCAGUAGUCUUGUUUUUUUCUUAAUAUAUGAACUGAUUGAAACAGCUCUGCUAUCAUGACAUAUACAAUUUUAUAAGUUUGUUUUUCUUUGUCCUAAUGGAGAAACAAAUGAAGAGAAAUUAAGUUCAUUAUGACUGGGUUAUUACAUCAGGAUGAGUUUAGAUACAGAUAAUAUUUUUGUGUCAGUUAUCAUUCCCAGAAAUAGUUUUUUGUCUAUUACUAGUUAAGAUUGUAGCUGAAGUUUCAUUUGACUACCAUUUUGGUUCAGCUAUCAACUAUUAACCCCUUCUUCUUGUAGAAAAUUGCUAUUAUCUCAUUUUCUUAUGAUUUAUUUCUAUGAUAUAUUUAUUUCUUAUGAUAUAUUUCUAUUGUUCUGUCUGUCUUUUGCAUCAACCUACUAUUAUUAUUGUGUAAAAGCAACCUGUAAGAGACAGAAUGUACCUAAUAAACAGUAAGGUAAUAAUAAAGGCCUAGAGGUACACCUAAAAGAAAGUCUGCAAAGGGCUGAGCAGCUGCCCUCACAUUUGCUGGUCCUGUUAUGUAAUAUUCAUUUCCUUUUACAUGAGGAUGAACAUGAACAAUGCAGAAAUGUUUACAUACACUCUGAGGUAAAAAAAAAAA